GUGAGGAAUUUUCCGCAAUGGGCGAAAGCCUGACGGAGCAAUGCCGCGUGAAGGAUGAAGGCCUAUGGGUUGUAAACUUCUUUUCUCAGAAAAGAAUUAUGACGGUAUCUGAGGAAUAAGCAUCGGCUAACUCUGUGCCAGCAGCCGCGGUAAGACAGAGGAUGCAAGCGUUAUCCGGAAUGAUUGGGCGUAAAGCGUCUGUAGGUUGUUUAAAAAGUAUUCUGUCAAAGAUUAGGGCUUAACCCUAGAUAGGCAGAAUAAACUUUUAAGCUAGAGUUUGGUAGAGGCAGAGGGAAUUCCCGGUGGAGCGGUGAAAUGCGUAGAUAUCGGGAGGAACACCAAAGGCGAAGGCACUCUGCUGGGCCAAUACUAACACUGAGAGACGAAAGUGAGGGGAGCAAAUGGGAUUAGAAACCCCGGUAGUCC
rnacentral:rRNA from 1 species